rnacentral:misc_RNA from 1 species
GAUGAAGAACGUAGCGAAAUGCGAUAAGUAAUGUGAAUUGCAGAAUUCAGUGAAUCAUCGAAUCUUUGAACGCACCUUGCGCUCCCUGGUAUUCCGGGGAGCACGCCUGUUCGAGUGUCGCGAAAUUCUUCAAGCCUUGGAUGGAUUUUUUUUUGUCUGUCCUUGGGCUUGGUUGUUGGGCUCUGCCGUGUCCUUCAUUGGGACGGCUGGCCUUAAAAGCAUUAGCCGAUCCUCGUGUGGUACUGGUUCUACUCAGCGUGAUAACAAUCUGAUCGUUGAGGACAUCUUCUGGAUGGCCAGUCAUCAUUUGGGUUGCUUCUAAACCGGUUUCGCAGAUUGCUCAAUCUGUGUGCAACUUUUCAGCUUUGACCUCGAAUCAGGUGGGACUACCCGCUGAACUUAAGCAUAUCAAUAAGCGGAGGA